GAGGGGGCAACCCCAAGAGAGCAGCGAACGGGUGAGUAACGCGUGGGUGAUCUUCCUUCGAGUGGGGAACAACAUCGGGAAACUGGUGCUAAUUCCGCAUAAUACCCUGGGGCUACGAGCCUCAGGAUCAAAGCCGGGGACCGCAAGGCCUGGCGCUUGAAGAUGAGCCCGCGUCCGAUUAGCUAGUUGGCGGGGUAAUGGCCCACCAAGGCUUCGAUCGGUAGCCGGCCUGAGAGGGCGGACGGCCACACUGGAACUGAGACACGGUCCAGACUCCUACGGGAGGCAGCAGUGGGGAAUUUUUCGCAAUGGGCGCAAGCCUGACGAAGCAACGCCGCGUGGAGGAUGAAGGUCUUCGGAUUGUAAACUCCUGUCGACCGGGACGAAUGCACUCGACCUAAUACGUCGGAAUGUUGACGGUACCGGUGGAGGAAGCCACGGCUAACUCUGUGCCAGCAGCCGCGGUAAUACAGAGGUGGCAAGCGUUGUUCGGAAUUACUGGGCGUAAAGGGCGCGUAGGCGGCCUUGUAAGUCUCGUGUGAAAGCCCUCGGCUUAACUGAGGAUCUGCACGGGAUACUGCGAGGCUUGAGUUCGGGAGAGGAAAGCGGAAUUCCGGGUGUAGCGGUGAAAUGCGUAGAUAUCCGGAGGAACACCAGUGGCGAAGGCGGCUUUCUGGACCGACACUGACGCUGAGGCGCGAAAGCUAGGGGAGCAAACGGGAUUAGAUACCCCGGUAGUCCUAGCUGUAAACGAUGAUCGCUGGGUGUGGGGGGUUUUUACUCCCCCCGUGCCGAAGC
rnacentral:rRNA from 1 species